rnacentral:misc_RNA from 1 species
GAUGAAGAACGUAGCGAAAUGCGAUAAGUAAUGUGAAUUGCAGAAUUCAGUGAAUCAUCGAAUCUUUGAACGCACAUUGCGCCCCUUGGUAUUCCGAGGGGCAUGCCUGUUCGAGCGUCAUUUGAAACCUCAAGCUCAGCUUGGUGUUGGGUGUCUGUCCCCGCCUCACCGCGGGGACUCGCCUCAAAAUCAUUGGCGGCCGGUACGUUGGCUUCGAGCGCAGCAGAAACGCGAACUCGAGGCCCGGCGGAUCGGCGACCAGAAGUCACUUCUUCACAGUUUGACCUCGGAUCAGGUAGGGAUACCCGCUGAACCUAAGCAUAUCAAUAAGCGGAGGA